CCCACGGCUCAGGCCGUGGGCUAAAUUCUCUCGCCCCUACGGGGCU
rnacentral:sRNA from 1 species